CUGAGCAUGCAUGCUGCCAUUCCAUUUUCUGAAAAUGAGCUACACAUAACAGAUCAAUUCAACACAAAAAGCGAGCUAGAAUAUAAGCUAAAUUGCUGCAAUUGCAGCACAGGUGGAUCGACCUCACGCAACAUCCAUUUCGGGGGUGUUUGGAUACUAGGUGGUAAACUUUAGCAGUAUCAUAUCGGAUGUUCGAAUGCUAAUUAGGAGGACUAAACAUGAGCUAAUUAUAAAACUAAUUGCAGAACCUUAUGCUAAUUCCCUAAUUCGCGAGAUGAAUCUAUUAAAUCUAAUUAAUCCAUCAUUAGAAAAUGGUUACUUAGCACCACAUUGUCAAAUCAUGGACUAAUUAGGCUUAAUAGAUUCGUCUCGCGAAUUAGACUCUAUCUGUGCAAUUAGUUUUUUAAUUAGCUUAUAUUUAAUACUCCUAAUUAGCAUUCAAACAUCCGAUGUGAUAGGUGCUAAACUUUAGCAGGGAGUAUCCAAACGGGGCCUUGGUUUCGUUACAGAUCUUUAUUUGUAUCGAUCGAUGUCCUCUGGUUGUUGUUCUUCGAUUUGUGCAUGCUAGGUCGCUCAGUUCUGGCCUUCACCACGGACCAUCGCGCAGGGGGUAACACCGAAGGGAGGUCUGGAGAGGUCGUCGGCGCUAGACGGUCCGGGGCGCUGUUGCUUUGCUUUGGGUAAGGGUCGUAAUCGUCUAUCUCCAUGAUACGUUCAAUGAGUGACUGUUCAAGAGGCAGCAACAUUCUUCCACUUUCC
rnacentral:lncRNA from 1 species